UCAGUGCUCAUUCUAACUUAGUCACUUGUACUAUUAAAGUUUGUUAUAUUUCUUUUAUUACAGAAAAUGUAAUUCAUUAUAGAUUGAGACCAAGCUCUCUUGAGUAACUGUUCUCUAAAUAUUUGAUUGGGUGAAUUGCUAUAGACUGGUUUUGAAACUAAAUUCAAUUUUUGUGAUUUCAGUAUUGAACUUUUGAUGGCAUGAGGAAACAAACUGGUUUCACCAAAGUUGCACGAGGGCCAGAAACUAAAUGGCUUCAUGAUUGACAAUACAUUUACAUCAAAGGCAGUGUACAUUAGACAAUGACACAUUUACGUUUGUCACCACAGAUUUAGAGGACAGUGGUGUGGAGGUUGACACGACAACAGCAUCUAGUGACCACAGAAGUACCACACCAGUCAUUGUAUGACUACAAGGGCUAAGGAUACCUUAAUCCACCUGAGUGACAGAAUAUUUGCUGUUGAGACUGUUCUGAAAUAUUUGGUUUCUGCAUGCAACAAUAAAUAAGAAACAUUUGUUUGCUUGGGACAAGAUCUUUGUUAACCAGUAUAAUAGUGAUUUCCUGACCUGUCCAUAACUUGAUAAUAAAUAUCAAAAUAUUA